UCUCAACAGCUAUGUGAGGAUGUGUGUGUAUGAGAGAGAAAUUAUUUCCUUCCUCUUUAUUAAAGCUGGUAGAGACUGUAUCCCUGCAUACUUAUGCAAAUCACAGUUUAUACAAUUUGAGCAUAAUAUAAGGAUCUUAAGAAAUCUUGUAAUAUGACUCUAAAUGGUAGUAUGAUAAAAUGUAGGCAGCCCUGGACAGGAGUCAGGGGAGUUGGGUCCUGUCUCACUGAGGUACAUAAACUAUAAGUCAUUUUCCAAGACUAAGGUGGAAGAAUGCCCAAGAACUGAAUGGGAUAAUUUACUUCAAUGAGAUUAUACAUAUAUGGUUACAUGCCGACCAUGAUGGUGCCUGUAAUUAGGUUAUUAUAAGACAUUGACACUCCUUGGAAGGAAAGUUAUGACCAACCUAGACAGCAUAUUAAAAAGCAGAGACAUUACUUUGCUGACAAAGGUCUGUCUAGUUAAGGCUACGGUUUUUCCAGUAGUCAUGUAUGGAUGUGAGAGUUGGACUGUAAAGAAAGCUGAGUGCUGAAGAAUUGAUGCUUUUAACUGUGGUGUUGGAGAAGACUCUUUGAGAGUCCCUUGGACUACAAGGAGAUUCAACCAGUCCAUCCUAAAGAAGAUUGGUCCUGAGUGUUCAUUGGAAGGACUGAUGCUGAAGCUGAAACUCCAAUACUUGGCCACCUGAUGCAAAGAGCUGACUCAUUUGAAGAGACUCUGAUGCUGGGAAAGAUUGAGGGCAGCAGGAGAAGGGGAAGACAGAGGAUGAGAUGGUUGGAUGACAUCACCAACUCAAGGGACAUGAGUUUGGGUAAACUCCAGGAGUUGUUAAUGGACAGGGAGGUCUGGCCUGCUGCAGUCCAUGGGGUCACAAAGGGUCAGACAUGACUGAGUGACUGAACUGAAGAGGUUGAAUAUAGUUCGCUAUGCUAUACAGGCAGUCCUCAUUGAUUAUCUAUUUCAUAUAUAAUAAUGCAUACCCGUUAAUCCCAAACUCCCAGUUUAUCCCUUCUCCCCUUUUCCUCUUUGGUAACCAUAAGUUUGUU
ensembl:lncRNA